AAGAAUAGGCUAGAUGCAAGAGCAAGCUGCUAACUUGGCUCUUUAGCGGUUUAAUUCCGUUAAUAUUCUUUA
rnacentral:tRNA from 1 species